rnacentral:rRNA from 1 species
UACGUAGGGGGCAAGCGUUGUCCGGAUUUAUUGGGCGUAAAGAGCGUGUAGGCGGCUAGAUAGGUCCGUUGUGAAAACUCGAGGCUCAACCUCGAGACGCCGGUGGAAACCAUCUAGCUAGAGUCCGGAAGAGGAGAGUGGAAUUCCUGGUGUAGCGGUGAAAUGCGCAGAUAUCAGGAAGAACACCCGCGGCGAAGGCGACUUACUGGACACAUAUUGACGCUGAGGUGCGAAAGCGUGGGGAGCAAACAGG